rnacentral:rRNA from 1 species
AUUGAACGCUGGCGGCAGGCCUAACACAUGCAAGUCGAACGGUAACAGGAAGCAGCUUGCUGCUUCGCUGACGAGUGGCGGACGGGUGAGUAAUGUCUGGGAAACUGCCUGAUGGAGGGGGAUAACUACUGGAAACGGUAGCUAAUACCGCAUAACGUCGCAAGACCAAAGAGGGGGACCUUAGGGCCUCUUGCCAUCGGAUGUGCCCAGAUGGGAUUAGCUAGUAGGUGGGGUAACGGCUCACCUAGGCGACGAUCCCUAGCUGGUCUGAGAGGAUGACCAGCCACACUGGAACUGAGACACGGUCCAGACUCCUACGGGAGGCAGCAGUGGGGAAUAUUGCACAAUGGGCGCAAGCCUGAUGCAGCCAUGCCGCGUGUAUGAAGGAGGCCUUCGGGUUGUAAAGUACUUUCAGCGGGGAGGAAGGGAGUAAAGUUAAUACCUUUGCUCAUUGACGUUACCCGCAGAAGAAGCACCGGCUAACUCCGU